CGCUGAAGCCGACAGCUUGCUGUUGGUGGAUGAGUGGCGAACGGGUGAGUAACACGUGAGUAACCUGCCCCUGAUUUCGGGAUAAGCCUGGGAAACUGGGUCUAAUACCGGAUAUGACCAAUCCUUGCAUGAGGGUUGGUGGAAAGUUUUUCGAUCGGGGAUGGGCUCGCGGCCUAUCAGCUUGUUGGUGGGGUAAUGGCCUACCAAGGCGACGACGGGUAGCCGGCCUGAGAGGGCGACCGGCCACACUGGGACUGAGACACGGCCCAGACUCCUACGGGAGGCAGCAGUGGGGAAUAUUGCACAAUGGGGGAAACCCUGAUGCAGCGACGCAGCGUGCGGGAUGACGGCCUUCGGGUUGUAAACCGCUUUCAGCAGGGAAGAAGCGAAAGUGACGGUACCUGCAGAAGAAGUACCGGCUAACUACGUGCCAGCAGCCGCGGUAAUACGUAGGGUACGAGCGUUGUCCGGAAUUAUUGGGCGUAAAGAGCUCGUAGGUGGUUGGUCACGUCUGCUGUGGAAACGCAACGCUUAACGUUGCGCGUGCAGUGGGUACGGGCUGACUAGAGUGCAGUAGGGGAGUCUGGAAUUCCUGGUGUAGCGGUGAAAUGCGCAGAUAUCAGGAGGAACACCGGUGGCGAAGGCGGGACUCUGGGCUGUAACUGACACUGAGGAGCGAAAGCAUGGGGAGCGAACAGGAUUAGAUACCCUGGUAGUCCAUGCCGUAAACGUUGGGCACUAGGUGUGGGGGACAUUCCACGUUCUCCGCGCCGUAGCUAACGCAUUAAGUGCCCCGCCUGGGGAGUAC
rnacentral:rRNA from 1 species